ensembl:snoRNA small nucleolar RNA SNORD71
AUGCUGUUGAGUGAUGAAGACUUUGAGUGAUCCAUCGACUGACUGUUUCAAAUGUUGAUCUCAUUAUUUCUGACAUCAGCUU